UACGGAGGUGGCAAGCGUUGCUCGGAAUCACUGGGCGUAAAGAGCUCGUAGGCGGCUUGUCACGUCGGAUGUGAAAGCCCGAGGCUUAACCUCGGGUCUGCAUUCGAUACGGGCUAGCUAGAGUGUGGUAGGGGAGAUCGGAAUUCCUGGUGUAGCGGUGAAAUGCGCAGAUAUCAGGAGGAACACCGGUGGCGAAGGCGGAUCUCUGGGCCAUUACUGACGCUGAGGAGCGAAAGCGUGGGGAGCGAACAGG
rnacentral:rRNA from 1 species